GCCCGGAUGGUCUAGUGGUAUGAUUCUCGCUUGUAAGGCUACCGUACCAAUACCACCACAAUUUCCAAAUACUAAUUCGCACCUAGUGGGUUCACCAAAUCUAAAAUGCGAGAGGCCCCGUGUUCGAACCACGGUUCGGGCC